rnacentral:rRNA from 1 species
GACGAACGCUGGCGGCGUGCUUAACACAUGCAAGUCGAACGAUGAAGCCGGAGCUUGCUCUGGUGAAUUAGUGGCGAACGGGUGAGUAACACGUGAGUAACCUGCCCUUGACUCUGGGAUAACUGCGGGAAACUGUAGCUAAUACCGGAUACGACCCUCGGAGGCAUCUCCUGGGGGUGGAAAGAAUUUCGGUCAAGGAUGGACUCGCGGCCUAUCAGCUAGUUGGUGGGGUAAAGGCUCACCAAGGCGACGACGGGUAGCCGGCCUGAGAGGGUGACCGGCCACACUGGGACUGAGACACGGCCCAGACUCCUACGGGAGGCAGCAGUGGGGAAUAUUGCACAAUGGGCGCAAGCCUGAUGCAGCAACGCCGCGUGAGGGAUGACGGCCUUCGGGUUGUAAACCUCUUUAGCAGGGAAGAAGCGAAAGUGACGGUACCUGCAGAAAAAGCACCGGCUAACUACGUGCCAGCCGCCGCGGUAA